GAUGAACGCUGGCGGCGUGCCUAAUACAUGCAAGUCGAGCGAACAGAUGAGGAGCUUGCUCCUCUGACGUUAGCGGCGGACGGGUGAGUAACACGUGGAUAACCUACCUAUAAGACUGGGAUAACUUCGGGAAACCGGAGCUAAUACCGGAUAAUAUAUUGAACCGCAUGGUUCAAUAGUGAAAGACGGUUUUGCUGUCACUUAUAGAUGGAUCCGCGCCGCAUUAGCUAGUUGGUAAGGUAAUGGCUUACCAAGGCAACGAUGCGUAGCCGACCUGAGAGGGUGAUCGGCCACACUGGAACUGAGACACGGUCCAGACUCCUACGGGAGGCAGCAGUAGGGAAUCUUCCGCAAUGGGCGAAAGCCUGACGGAGCAACGCCGCGUGAGUGAUGAAGGUCUUCGGAUCGUAAAACUCUGUUAUUAGGGAAGAACAAAUGUGUAAGUAACUAUGCACGUCUUGACGGUACCUAAUCAGAAAGCCACGGCUAACUACGU
rnacentral:rRNA from 1 species